rnacentral:rRNA from 1 species
UACGGAGGGUGCGAGCGUUAAUCGGAUUUACUGGGCGUAAAGCGUGCGCAGGCGGCCCGUUAAGACAGGUGUGAAAUCCCUGGGCUCAACCUAGGAAUUGCGCUUGUGACUGGCGGGCUCGAGUACGGUAGAGGGGGGUGGAAUUCCUGGUGUAGCGGUGAAAUGCGUAGAUAUCGGGAGGAAGGCCGGUGGCGAAGGCGGCCUCCUGGGCCUGCACUGACGCUGAGGAGCGAAAGCUAGGGGAGCAAACGGG